GGGUUGUGAGGUUAAGCGACUAAGCGUACACGGUGGAUGCCCUGGCAGUCAGAGGCGAUGAAGGACGUGCUAAUCUGCGAUAAGCGUCGGUAAGGUGAUAUGAACCGUUAUAACCGGCGAUUUCCGAAUGGGGAAACCCAGUGUGAUUCGUCACACUAUCAUUACGUGAAUACAUAGCGUAAUGAAGCGAACCGGGGGAACUGAAACAUCUAAGUACCCCGAGGAAAAGAAAUCAACCGAGAUUCCCCCAGUAGCGGCGAGCGAACGGGGAGCAGCCCAGAGUCUGAAUCAGCAUGUGUGGUAGUGGAACGGUCUGGAAAGUCCGGCGAUACAGGGUGAUAGCCCCGUACACAAAAGUGCAUGUGUUGUGAACUCGAAGAGUAGGGCGGGACACGUGGUAUCCUGUCUGAAUAUGGGGGGACCAUCCUCCAAGGCUAAAUACUCCUGACUGACCGAUAGUGAACCAGUACCGUGAGGGAAAGGCGAAAAGAACCCCGGCGAGGGGAGUGAAAAAGAACCUGAAACCGUGUACGUACAAGCAGUGGGAGCCUCUUUAUGGGGUGACUGCGUACCUUUUGUAUAAUGGGUCAGCGACUUAUAUUCUGUAGCAAGGUUAACCGAAUAGGGGAGCCGAAGGGAAACCGAGUCUUAACUGGGCGUUAAGUUGCAGGGUAUAGACCCGAAACCCGGUGAUCUAGCCAUGGGCAGGUUGAAGGUUGGGUAACACUAACUGGAGGACCGAACCGACUAAUGUUGAAAAAUUAGCGGAUGACUUGUGGCUGGGGGUGAAAGGCCAAUCAAACCGGGAGAUAGCUGGUUCUCCCCGAAAGCUAUUUAGGUAGCGCCUCGUGAACUCAUCUUCGGGGGUAGAGCACUGUUUCGGCUAGGGGGUCAUCCCGACUUACCAACCCGAUGCAAACUGCGAAUACCGAAGAAUGUUAUCACGGGAGACACACGGCGGGUGCUAACGUCCGUCGUGAAGAGGGAAACAACCCAGACCGCCAGCUAAGGUCCCAAAGUCAUGGUUAAGUGGGAAACGAUGUGGGAAGGCACAGACAGCCAGGAUGUUGGCUUAGAAGCAGCCAUCAUUUAAAGAAAGCGUAAUAGCUCACUGGUCGAGUCGGCCUGCGCGGAAGAUGUAACGGGGCUAAACCAUGCACCGAAGCUGCGGCAGCGACACUAUGUGUUGUUGGGUAGGGGAGCGUUCUGUAAGCCGUUGAAGGUGUGCUGUGAGGCAUGCUGGAGGUAUCAGAAGUGCGAAUGCUGACAUAAGUAACGAUAAUGCGGGUGAAAAACCCGCACGCCGGAAGACCAAGGGUUCCUGUCCAACGUUAAUCGGGGCAGGGUGAGUCGACCCCUAAGGCGAGGCCGAAAGGCGUAGUCGAUGGGAAACAGGUUAAUAUUCCUGUACUUGGUGUUACUGCGA
rnacentral:rRNA from 1 species